UAAUUCUCUUGGAAUAUAAAAUUACAGACAAACUCAAAAUAAACCAAAAUACAAACACGAAAAAUGAAAAAUCGGGAAUACAUGGAAGCUUCAAUUCCUAGGGCCCGUGGGACAUCAUUCGGUCUCGCCACAGGCCUACGUACGACAUCCCCUUGUAGAAUCUCCAAAUCACUCAUUAUCUGGAGGACAAAUGUCAUCACUAUAGCGAAGAAGGUGGUUCGAGUCAUGUCCUCACAUGUUAGGAUUUUGUGACAAUGUAGUUGGCAAUGGCUCUAACCCUCUCUCGGAUCCUACCCUUUUCCUGAAGCAGAUGCCCGAUUUGCUGAUUCUUGGCUUUUAACACCUAAGCGUCCCGACGGUUUUGAUUUUGCAGGUAUUGCAUUUCUUCCUCCAUCUGAGCAAUUAGAGCAUAGCGAUGUUUCCUGUCAGCUUUAAAGUAUUUGGCUUGCUUAGCCGCCUAGUUCUGAAAGGAAGUUAACUUUCUUCUCAGAUUGGUGAUUGUCCCUUGAUAUUUUCUUUUCAUUUAUUGCCCAAACUAUGCCUUCCCUUUUUCAUUCUUAACCAAUUGGGACCGAAAUUUUGCUAAACUGGCUUCAGACUUUUCUAGAUAAUCCUGACUCUCAAGGGCUUUCUCUCUCAGACUGCUUAUAAGCCUUUCAUCCACUUUGACUUCUUUUCUGGUUUCUAGCUGCUAUUCUCAUUUUCUGGAUUUGAGCUUUGAGGGCUUUAUUUUUUUGAGUUAGCUUUUUCUUUUCCCCUUCAUCUGCGGCAGCUUGGAUACUUUUGGAAAAUUCAAUAUCCCUGAUUUGUCCUUCUAACAUACCUAUUUUGUCCCUGUAGCUUUCUUCUUUUGCCUACCAGCCCCACUGCUCUUGUGAGUCGUUAGUGAAUAUUUGAACAUAAGCUCUCUUAGAGGGUCUCUCAUGAAUCAUAAACCUUUUACCGAACCAAAAAUGUACUUGGGGUCUACCUCACCUCUAGCGAGAUCCCGCACUAUAGUCUUAGGCUCAAGAAAUCUGCAUUCAUUCCACAACUAGCGAAUUCUUUCUUCUGGAAAUACAUCUUUUAGGCCCAAAUCGAUGACAUGUUUACUCAGAUCUUCGUCAUGGGGAAUGGUUUGAAAUCUACCCUGUUGGAGCAAAACCCUGUGAGGAGCAUAUGGCUGGAUGCUCUCAAUGCUGAUUAGGAGGAGAUAACACACUUCGGUUGACAUGUAUACUGCUUCGGUGACAGGAAGCCAUUCGAAUGCCAACUCAGUUUUAUCGGCAGUCAAAAAGCUCAAGUGUGCAAACCAAGCCUCAGUACCCUCGGGGAAUUUAACACCCACUACUCAGCUUUAAAAUUCUUCAAUGCAACUCAAACCGGUCAUAUCGUAUAUCAUAUACCCAACCUGGUGGUAGAGAUGCUCCUGUAUCCACAAUUGUAGCAACAGAUUGUAGCCUUGGAAGAAUUUUUCCCCUUCUCGACAGAUAGAUAAGGCUCGGUAAAUUUCAGAUAAGAUCAGGGGAACUACAGUGCAAUUAGCUUUCAUUAUUGCGACAUCAACCAUUCCCACGAGACCCAUUUCUAUAUUUCUAUCUUCUCUCGGACAAAUUACAACACCCAAGAAUGCUACUAUGAAAACCAAACCCCGCCUUGCCUCCCAUUUAUCUUUAUUUUCGGCAUGGGUCAAACCAGUAUUCGGUGCUUCAAAACCUUGGGAUUUACCAUAGCAUUGAUACAAGAACUAGAAAGUGUAAUACCCUUCAGAUAAAUUUCCAUCCUGAAUAUCUCGACUAAUACUCAAAAAAUCUAAAAAUUUGUGGGGAGAUACCGAUCUUGGUGACACUAGGUACUGACUUCUAAGGUUUCCAUUUAAGGCCAGCAUAACCCGCAGCUUCCUCUAUUGUGGGUGUGAGCUAAAAGUCAGAAAAGCAAAAUACAUUUCGAUUUGGAUCCCAAAAAGGUAUCAAGGCUUCAAUCACGUCUAACCUUGGCUUGAUUUUCAAAAGUCCGAUAAAACCACCCAGAACCUUUACCACAGUUUCUCUACUGCAUUUUCCAAGAUCAUUCCACCACAUGUGGAGCUGUAAGGAAUCUCUUUAAAAGCUGCGAAGGGUUCAUUUUCAUUUGUGCUCAUCCUACACAUUUAUUAUGGUGAUUUAAUAACUUAUUUUUACAAAAAGGUAACACUAUUUUUCAAAAUUUGUUUCAAAAUAAAAUCCAGUUAUAAAAAUACGACCUUUCAACACUUCGGGAAAGAAGGUUUUACAGUUGUGCUUGCUAACUGGCUAAAAAUUAAAAAAACCAAAGGUGGUUAUUCUAGGAAAAUGGCCUUCCGGCGCCCUUUUAGGGACAUUCGACUUGUUUUAGGAAAGAAUGGCAUCACCCCAAUUAUUUGUGAUAAAAAUAAAUUUUUUGUUCUUUUUGGGCCAUUUUUGCAAAAAGAAAAUUGGACCUACUGGGGGUUGCCUACAUAUCCCACAUCAUAUGGGAAUCAAACUGGUGUAGUUCGGAUAAUUUUUUUAAAAGAAACAACUAUUUUGAAAAUAGAAUUUUCUUCCUUAUCUUUUUUUUUAAAACAUAUUCGAUAGAGUUUCAGUACCUUUUGGACAUUGGUUUGAAAAAUGGGUAAUUAUGUCUUAGCCCCCUCACACUGAUAUUGUAUUUUUCCACUAUUAUUCACAAGACAGUCAACAUGCAAAUCCAAAGCAAAUAAAUGCACAAGUAGCAAGUAGGGUGCAUCAGGAUGGUCUUUUCAUUUCAAGUACACCUGUCCUAGACAUACCCAGCCCCUAUGUUGAGUCUCCUAACUCAAAUGCACUUGAUGCAAACAAACAUUCCUACUAAGGAUCCGGCAUGAGUUUUUUUGUACUGGGUUAAAAACAUGGGUUUAUUGUUCUAG
rnacentral:lncRNA from 1 species